rnacentral:rRNA from 1 species
CAUGAAGCCGGAAUUGCUAGUAAUGGCAGGUCAGCAUACUGCCGUGAAUACGUUCCCGGGCCUUGUACACACCGCCCGUCACACCAUGGGAGUCGGAAAUGCCCGAAGUCUGUGACCCAACCGGAAGGAAGGAGCAGCCGAAGGCAGGUCUGAUGACUGGGGUGAAGUCGUAACAAGGUAAC